rnacentral:misc_RNA from 1 species
ACAGUAUCCAAUGGCGCAACAGUAAUUGGACCCUCCUCAAUUAUCUUUUGGUGCCGCCUCUGAACACUGCAAUCACGGCUAUGCAAAGCUGCUACAUUUCCAUACUGAUCGCACAGUAACUGGACUUCUAAAUGCCGACUCUGGGAAGCAACCUUCAUUAUAAAUAUGGGUGAUCCUGGAACUUCACCCUGAACUUGCUUGAACAAUGCCCUUACUUCAUCAUCAUUAUGAACCUUUCUUAUGCCUUUACCGCCACCACCCCACGAUGCCUUGAUCAUUGCAGGGUAACCAACAACUUGACAGCUUGCAAUUGCUUCCUCUGUUGUAUAUACACAUGCUUCCCUGUAUAUCUCAUCUGGUAUGGUAAUCAAACAACUUUCUGAAGGAAUUCUCACAUGAGAACCACUCCAUGGAAGAG